CGACUUCCUCUUUUGUUCAGUUGCCUUCUAACUAAAGAGUUUAAUUUGUCUUCAGGUAAGAGGGAAAGUUGAUACUGCAUUCACCUAUUCCCCUUACAUAAAGCUACAUUUAAUGAGUGAAUUACCCAUUUCUUAAAGCGUUUUUCUGUAUUUUUCUUUAAAGUACUUUGAAGAUCUCUAAGGAUUUGAAUGUAUAGGUAUCUGUACUUAACUACAGCUGUAUUCACUCAUGCACUUGUUUACUCAACGUCACUAAGAAUUCUUGGAUGGCAUUUGACAUAUGACAGGUACAUAAAAAUCAUUAGAUACGAUCUCUGUGUAAUGCAGGUAGAUCGCUGGUUAUUAAAUUCCCUGGCAUAUGGAAGCAGGGUGGCUUUCUUAUUUCUUGACAGAUUUUUUUUCCUUCUUAGUGUGAGUGGAUCUGUGAAGUGUUAAUGAGACAAACAACUGAAAAAAUACAUUAAGUUUUUGCAUUUGGACAUGGAAGUGACCCAUUAUUUUUCGUAGCUGACAUCUAUUCCAGAGAUUUAAUGUAUACAGCUUGGAGGUCACUGGGUUUCUGCAUAUAUCCUGUAAAUUCUUCAAAACCUUGCGCUGCCUUAAUGACUGGAAAAGAAGGUGUGUUUUUUUUCUUUUUCUUCUGUAGCCUGUUUCCAGUUUUACUGAAUUCUCCUCUGCUUCUAACACAAACUUCAGAAUAGUGACAAAUGUUGCUGUAGUCAGCAGUGUGUGUGCUCCAAAAUUUAAGGAAUAAACCCUUUGUAUGUACUUGGCAUUUAAAACUAAGGGGCAUACAUGCCACUAGCCGUGGAAGGCUGUUCUGCCCUCUUCAUGUGUCUCAUUGCAUUGGCCAGGCUCACACAAAGCACAGAGCCUAAAACCUCAAAGAUAGAGCUCUAGUUAGCACCUGCUGUAUUUGUAUUCUCGACUCUGGGAGACUGAAGGCUUUUGGCAUGCACUGCAGUGCUAUUACUUCAAUCAGUGGUAUCCCCAGAUGGGAGCAUGUGCCAGCAGCCCUGUGGAGGAUGUGGAUGAUGCCAUGCAUUGAGCUCAUAAGCUCCUUAGGAGCCGAGGAAGCAGAUGCAGACUGCCAAAGCAGGAUCCUUUAAUGCUCAAGGCAUCAGUGAUUUCCGUGACAAUGGAACCUCACUUCUGAAAGAGGAGGGCUGAACAACUAGUUUCUCAUCCCCAUAAGCACAAGAGAGUAUUUUUUGGUUUACUGAAUUUUUUUAAACUAUAGUUCUGAAUUCUUUUCUGUGUUUUAAUACUUCUCCAUUGUUAUCUGUAGCAGAAGACUUUUUCUGUUUACUUUCCACUUAGCAUACACUUCAGAAGCUGCCUCCUCUUUUGUAUAGGUCCCCUUCAGCACUCAUUCCUGUACUGGGUUUGUCCUGACUUGGUGCCAUUGUGUUGGUAUACUUGAAGUAGAAGUGAAUUCUUGUUAACCAUAGGCUAAAUACAGUAAAUAUACUGGUGUAACUUAUUCAUUUGAGAGUCAACUGAAGUUUGUAAUUGAACAGUAAUGUUGCUGAGGAGCUCUGAAGUAAGUGUCAAGUAGACAGCUGAGAAAAGAAAGGGGGGAAGCUAGCAAAACUUGUACUCUGUUUUGAACUGCUGUUGCUGCAAGAAUUUUAGGUGGUCAUUACCACUGUCCCAUACAACCUAUAUUCUAGGUUUUCUAGCACCAUUUCCUUUUCUGUCUGAGAACAUCUUGACAGAUAAAUGGCAAGGGAGCAAAUAGAAGAGUGCAGGCAUAAUCCUGAAGUGAUCCAAGAGCUACAAGAUUGGCUGCUGUACAUCGUAGGCAACAGCGUAGUGCCUCUGUUUAAUGUAAGAAAGCAGAAACAGAACAGUGAACAGUCCUCUGGGAAAUGAAGUUCUUCUCUUCUGAGACAGAUAUGUGCACAGUUGCUUAACCUCUGAUGGUACAUGC